GCCCGAAUGGCGGAAUCGGCAUACGCGUCAGACUCAAAAUCUGAUAUGGGCAACCAUGUGGGGGUUCAAGUCCCUCUUCGGGCA
rnacentral:tRNA from 1 species